AUUGAACGCUGGCGGCAGGCCUAACACAUGCAAGUCGAACGAGUGGCGGACGGGUGAGUAAUGUCUGGGAAACUGCCCGAUGGAGGGGGAUAACUACUGGAAACGGUAGCUAAUACCGCAUACCAUCGGAUGUGCCCAGAUGGGAUUAGCUUGUAGGUGAGGUAACGGCUCACCUGGGCGACGAUCCCUAGCUGGUCUGAGAGGAUGACCAGCGACACGGGAACUGAGAAAUGGGCCAGACGACUACGGGAGGAAGCAGGGGGGAAGAGGGAAAAAUGUGCGCAAGCCUGAUGCAGCAAGGCCGCGUGUAUGAAGAAGGCCGUCGGGUUGGAAAGUAAUUUCAGCGGGGAGGCGGUACCCGCAGAAGAAGCACCGGCUAACGCCGUGCCAGCAGCCGCGGUAAUAC
rnacentral:rRNA from 1 species